CAAAAAAUAUACACGUUUUUUAUCGGACAUUAAGCAAAAUCUGUGGACAAUAAGCAAAACGGACAAAAAGCAAAAGUUUUGGACAAAAAGCAAAAUUAUCGGACAAAGCGAAAAGGACAAAAAGCAAAAGUGUCGGACAAAAAGCAAAAUAAUCGGACAAAAAGAAAAAUGGACAAAAAGCAAAAUGAUCAGACAAAAAGCAAAAGCGGAUCAAUGACUGUAAUACUUUUCUGUCUAUUCAAAAUAACCUACGCGGGUUUAGUGUGCAC
rnacentral:lncRNA from 1 species